UACGAAGGGGGCUAGCGUUGUUCGGAAUCACUGGGCGUAAAGCGCACGUAGGCGGAUCUUUAAGUCAGGGGUGAAAUCCCGAGGCUCAACCUCGGAACUGCCUUUGAUACUGGAGAUCUCGAGUCCGGGAGAGGUGAGUGGAACUGCGAGUGUAGAGGUGAAAUUCGUAGAUAUUCGCAAGAACACCAGUGGCGAAGGCGGCUCACUGGCCCGGAACUGACGCUGAGGUGCGAAAGCGUGGGGAUCAAACAGGG
rnacentral:rRNA from 1 species